CUCUCGCGGCCAGAUGUUGCAGACUCAAGGGUCUGCAUCCAGUGCGGAGAGAAUAAAGGAGUCCAUCUCCAUGCCGAAAGGCAAAAAAGUAAAAUUUUUAUGGAUGCCGACAGUAGCCGCAAGGCCAACUCCGCAACACAUAA
rnacentral:ncRNA from 12 species